AAUAGAGUAUAUAAUAUUAUUACACGAAGUUCUUUUCAUACUUCGCCAGGAACGCAAGAAAGGAAAGAAGGAAGAAAGACUCAAAGCCAUCAUCUUUGAGUUUCCCUGAUCAAAUUUAUUUGUCUCCUUUGGCCGUUGAGCUUCCAAUUUCAUGUUAGGGUUCUCUUUUUCCCCCCCUUCCGCACAGGAUUUAAAUCUGCAGUCCGAGAAAGAUAAAAUUUGAUAUCUUUAUGUGUAUAUAUUAACUACCACAAGAAGAAAAAAAUGAAGUUCAUUGUUAGAUCCGCUUAGCUUCUGGCUUUCCUUCAAAUUUCAGACAAUACAUAGGUUUAAACCUGCAGGCUCAUUUCAAGUCUUCCAAGUCCCAACCAUCAGAGAUCUGAUUGACUUCCGUGGUGAUGCUCCUGCUCCUAAAGUUG